GAGCUGCCUGCUGAUUGGUGGAAACUGGGGCAGCCAAACCACGUGACGGUCACCAUGGAGACAACAGCGAACCGAGCAAUGAAAGAUGUGCAAAGAAGAUCAAAACGACAUCCUUCUUGCUGAUGCACAAGAAACUACCAUCUUCAAUGUGUGCAAGCUGUGGACUGAUGGAUCACCCAUGAACCAGAAAGCUGCCCACAUGAAAUUCAAGACACUGAUUACAGCCUACAAAUCCAUCAACGGAUCUGCUCCCCGAUAUCUACAAGACCUGAUCACUUACUAUGCCCAAACAAGACUAAUAUGUUCCUCCAUCUCUGCCUGCUUGUGGUCCCAUAAUCAAAAGCGCAAAGAUUUUCCAGCCUGCCUCCAAUGUGGUGGAAUUACAUCCUGCUGUCAUUCAGAAAUGCUGAAUCUCUCUACAUCGAACAAGGGCCCCAAAACUAAUCUUUUUGGACUCGC